rnacentral:ncRNA from 2 species
UAGUUGCCAUAACUCCGAGCUUAGUGUCGCUAAGUCUAUAGUGAUAAGCGACAUAAGCCAGUGACUUCGUGUCACAAGGGCAUGAUUGGAAAUGGUCAUGCCUCCCGUAUUUGGAAAGGUGUUCCGUGGCGCAACAA